UUGAAUAAACUUGGUUGGGUUGCUGCUGGCUCCUAGGAGCAUGUGCACGCCUAUUCCAUCUUUAACCCCCCUGUGCACCUUGUGUAGAUCUGAACGACAUUUCGAGGAGCCCCCUCGGUCAGAGAAUUGCUGUGUCGCAUGGCGAGCUUUUCUUGUUAGUUUCAGAUCUACGUCUUCUACACACCCUUUUAAAUGAAUGUAUUUGAAUGUUGAUCAUGUAAUAAAUGUCAUA
rnacentral:misc_RNA from 1 species